GACGAACGCUGGCGGCGUGCUUAACACAUGCAAGUCGAACGGAAAGGCCCUGCUUUUGUGGGGUGCUCGAGUGGCGAACGGGUGAGUAACACGUGAGUAACCUGCCCUUGACUUUGGGAUAACUUCAGGAAACUGGGGCUAAUACCGGAUAGGAGCUCCUGCUGCAUGGUGGGGGUUGGAAAGUUUCGGCGGUUGGGGAUGGACUCGCGGCUUAUCAGCUUGUUGGUGGGGUAGUGGCUUACCAAGGCUUUGACGGGUAGCCGGCCUGAGAGGGUGACCGGCCACAAUGGUACUGAGAGACGGCCCAGACGCCUACGGGAGGCAGCAGUGGGGAAUAUUGCACAAUGGGCGGAAGCCUGAUGCAGCAACGCCGCGUGCGGGAUGACGGCCUUCGGGUUGUAAACCGCUUUCGCCUGUGACGAAGCGUGAGUGACGGUAAUGGGUAAAGAAGCACCGGCUAACUACGUG
rnacentral:rRNA from 1 species